UGUUCAUUUUGGAUAUUGUUAUAUUGAUUGAAAUUUUUCUUAAUUUUUUCCGUUUAAAAAUUGACUGAUAGGAAUUAAGCCGGGAAUAAGGGGCCCAUCUAUGGUAACUGGUGGUUUGAUUGGGGUGAUGGGAGGUUUCAUGUACGCCUACCAGAAUUCAGCCGGGAGGCUCAUGGGAUUUUUCCCCAACGAAGGGGAGGUUAUAAAGUACAAGAAGUUUUCCUCUUAGGGUUUUUUCUCCUUUGCAUUUAUAUUGUAUUUUUUUUUUACCCUAAUUUGUUUCGCAUUGUUUGCAUUGUGUGUUUGGAAGUCUUUAUAAUAUUAACAAUAAUCAAACCGUUGGUCCUGAUACUCUAAAUUCCUGGUGCUGCAGAUAUUGUAUGUUUCAAUGUGUAAUUGAAUGCUGCUUAUCCUCCUGUUUACACCCAUCAAAUUGGUAUGUUUUGAAGGUAGAUUGUUAUCGCAAUUCAAUUGCAUAAUGUUUGCCUAUGGAUAUUCUAGUG
rnacentral:lncRNA from 1 species